UAUAGUUCAAUAUGAAAAAUAGUGAUAAAGGUCUUUUAUGAACAUUUACCAUGUGAUUUUUAAUUCUCCCAACAACAGGAGGUACCAUAAUUUUGCCUGCCUAUUCAGGUGAAUAAGUCUGGGGUCAGAUGGGUUUGAAUUGACUUUUCCUAUAUCCCCUAGCUUAUAGGGCAGAGCCAAGAAAAAAGUCUGACAUAUUUGACUCAAUGCUUUGCCUUUAACCACUCUACUCUUCUGCUUUAUGUAGUUUGUAGACUGCUCUCCCCCUUUCACCACCCUGCAUUAUUUCACUCUUUCUUUUGAUUUUUUUUUCCAAGUCACAUGUGCAAUAGUCCCUUGCUUUUUGUUUACCUUUUUGUGUAUGUUUGUUUGGUUUCUGUUUUCUUAAAAAAACACAAUUGCAUGCCUCUGAUUCCUUCUCCCACCAAUCUGUGCCCCACACUUAUCAAAUUAAUCUACCCCAAUACCAUUCUCUUCAUUUCUUUGUCUUAUUUAAAAUCUUCUGAUUAUCCCUAUUUCCUACAGUGAUAUUUCCCAAAACAUGUUCUCCAAGCUGUUAAUAUUCUAUGUAAAUGAAAGAAAAAGGAAGAAAGAAAAAGAAAGGAAGAAAAGAAGGAGGAAGAAAAAGAAGGGAGGGAGAAAAAAGGAAAGAAAAAGAAAAGACAAACUCGUGAGUUUGGAAAGCACUUUCAUUACAGAAAGAUUUAUCUGACUAUUAUGUUAAUAUCCAUGUGACAGUAAUAAAGAAAUCAUCUAUUGGAGAUAAAUAUAGAAUAGUUUCAAAACUUGCUUUCUCUAAAUCAGAGUGUCUGGGUUUAAGUGACCUUUCCCAAUGUUCUAUGUUCUUUGUCAAAUGACUUCGUCUCUCUGAUUUUAGUUCCCUGAUCUGCAAAAUAAGAUAAUGAUUAUGACCUCUGAAAUGGCCUGCAAUUAUCCUCUCACACUGUGUUCACACACUUGGUAGUCUCUUCCCCCAUGAGAAAGGACCGACUUUUAUAGCCCAUAGGAUGUUGCAGAGUUGUAUUCAAAGCUGAGUCAUGAAAGACACUGUAUCUCUUCCUUGCUCUCUCUUGGAUAACUUGUUCUGGAGGAAGCCAACUGCCAUGUCAUGAGGAUCCUCAAAGAGCCCAUUAGAAUGCCUACGUAGAGAAAAAGCCUUCAACUAAUAACCAGCACCAACAUGGCAGCCAUGUGAGCAAGCCAACUGGGAAGUGCACCCUGAGGACAUAAUCAAGCUCUCAGAGUACUUCAGCUAAGGCUGAUGACUUGACUGCAACUAACUGAGACAUGUUGAGCCUGAACUCCCAGUCAAGAUGCUACCAAACUCUUGGCCCAUAGAAAAGGCAUGAGCCCAUAGAGAAGCCAUCCACUUUACCAGGCAUGAGUGGAAGAAACAGCAACGAAUCCUAAUACUUGCAGGAAAACUGAGUGUGUUGGAGUUUUUUAAAGAAAAAAUUCUCAGAGGUUCCACAGUUGCAUUGAAAACUAAUAG
rnacentral:lncRNA from 10 species